rnacentral:rRNA from 1 species
GUCCACGCUGUAAACGAUGAUCACUAGGUAUUGGGAGUAUUGACCCUUCCAGUGCCGUAGCUAACGCAUUAAGUGAUCCGCCUGGGGAGUACGGUCGCAAGACUAAAACUCAAAGGAAUUGACGGGGGCCGCACAAGCGGUGGAGUAUGUGGUUUAAUUCGACGCAACGCGAAGAACCUUACCUGGAUUAGACAUAAAUUACGACGAGAUGCAGAGAUGUGUUUCUUCCCCGCCAAGGGGACGGGAUUGACAGGUGCUGCAUGGCUGUCGU